AGCUCGUGUCGUGAGAGUGUUCGGGUUAAGUCCCGUAACGAGCGCAACCCUUGUCCUUAGUUACCAGCACGUUAUGGUGGCACUCUAAGGAGACUGCCGGUGACAAACCGGAGGAAGGUGGGGAGUGACGUCAAGUCAUCAUGGCCCUUACGGCCUGGGCUACACACGUGCUACAAUGGUCGGUACAAAGGGUUGCCAAGCCGCGAGGUGGAGCUAAUCCCAUAAAACCGAUCGUAGUCCGGAUCGCAGUCUGCAACUCGACUGCGUGAAGUCGGAAUCGCUAGUAAUCGUGAAUCAGAAUGUCACGGUGAAUACGUUCCCGGGCCUU
rnacentral:rRNA from 1 species